AGUUAAAAUACGAACCAGUGCGUCUUCCAUUGCCGCCUGCAUUAUUUUCAAAACACAGCAUAAGUAUGGAUAAUGUGAAAUUGUAUAUAAAUAAAAAACCGGCAUCCAAUGUCGAUAGGGAAAAAGAUAGAAACAAAACCUGCACUGUGGAAGAUAUCCUUGUAAAUGAAGCCAGUUUUUUGCCUUCAAGACUUGCUGCCACUGAUUCACAUAGCUUCUCAGCUAUUUCCUCAGCCUACAAGUGACACAGAAUGUAAAAAAUAUUAUCUAGCUUAAGAAGAGCAAAAAGUAGCCAAUAGAACAAAAUUUAGAUGUUGAAGCCACCACAUCUAAUCAUGUUGCGGAUAAAUACAUACCACAUUCUUGGUCAUGAGUCUAUCCUUCAGAGCUUUCAAAGCUGGUUCCAAGUCCGACUUCUCCAAAUUGGCCUUCCCAGCAAUACUGAGCACAAGCAUGUAAAUAAACUUCAUUAGAAGUCAUUUCAAUGAAAACUGAAAAUUGAAAUAAACUAAUAGCAGAUCAAGGUUAUUUGCAUACAACAAAAUAAAUUUCGCCCCAGACGACACCGUCACAAGGAAGAUGGAAACAGGGCAUCAUCACAAAAUCUUAGAAAAACAACAAUCAAAGCACAAUGUAAGAGGAAAUUCAUUUAUGACCAAGAGUAACAGUUUAAUUUAUUCAUUCAUUUAUGCUGUGUCAUAUCCAUAUAUGCCCCUGACCUCAACACCUUUCCUGACUUUCAAACGAAUACCAAUAUCAUUACAAGUUAAAUAAGCUUGACAUCCUAAUGAUGCACAUAUGUCUUAAAGCAAAGGACAACUAUGAAUAAAGAUUUCAAUCCAAGGAAGUUUACAGUGUAAUUUCUAUUGCUACCACCAAUUGCAGUAAAUCAUCAUUAGAAUUAAAACAAUUGAAGUAUUGUCAAGGAAUCAUCGAUUAGAAACAAUACAACAGACAACAAAAUCCAAUUCAUGGAAAUAUAACACUUUUCACUAUUUCAAGCAACACAACAUCAAUUGGAUUCUACGAGGCAAGCUACUUAGCAUAAUUCUGAAUAGCGCAAACAAACUUUUCAAUCUAUAUAAAACAAAACUAAUUAAUCAAGUUCAGCAAGUUUACCUCUGGAACAUAGAUGAAAACCAACCCUUCUUUUUAGCAUCAGGCUUGCUCUUCUUCCCAGCAUUAUCAUCGUCAUCAUCCUCUUCAUCCUCACUAUCACUACUAAAAAUCUCAUCUUUAUCCAUCAUACUUUCCCCUUGUUCCUUAGCCAAAUAAUCAACCUUCCUAUCCUUAUCCGCAUCCCCAUCAAUAUCAACAUGAUCCGUAAAAUCUAAUUUAGUUUCAACGGGUUUUUCAUCCCAAACCCUAUUUUUCUUAACCACCUUUUUCGGCUCAGCCUUGGUUACAACAGCAUCUGUUUUCUUUCCAUUCCCACCUUUAUUCCUAACCUUCUUCUGGAGCCUAUUUACAUCAAAAGCUCCAUUGUUUACACUAUCAUUCUCUUUACCAUUUACACUAACAUUACCAACAACACCGUUACUCCUCAAAUUAUAACCGUUACCGUUAUUCACAAUAGCAGAACGGUCAUUCUCAGAAUUCUUCUUCCCAUUUUUCCCAUCACCAUCAUUCUUCAAACCACCACCAGCACUUCCAUUCUUCUUCCCAUCAGAUCCAUCUCCCUUCCAUGUCACCUGCUGUUUCCUAUUCCCACCUACAAUCACCGGAUUCGAUUUCUUCAAAUCCUCAGCACGAGCCUCAGCUUCAAUCUUCAACUGCUUAAAGAUCUCAUCAAAAUCACGAUACACAGUUCGGGUGGGAUCAUAAACCUGCGAGAAUUCACGCUUAACAGCAGCAAGCAAAUCAUCCACAUAAAGCAGAUGCAGAAUUCGCUGAUAAACAGCAACGAAAACAAGACCUAGAUCAUUGUGGAAAGUCCAUUUGAGAGAAUAAGCAGCUCCAGGUGCAUCGUAAUUGUAAGAUGACGCACCAGAUCGCUCCUCUAGAAGACAAGAUCGAAUCAAUGUAUCGAUCGGUGAUCCUUUCAAAGCGUUACCAAUUUCAUUGCAUGACCAGAGGAUUAAUCCUCCUCUUGUGAAAAUCAGUAACUGCUCUAACAUG
rnacentral:lncRNA from 1 species